rnacentral:tmRNA from 17 species
AAAAUGGACCCAUAGGCAGUUUUUGGUAUUUCCUUUUUAAUAUUAAUGGGAAUAAUAAUAGUGUUGACAUUUU